CACCAGGUUGAUUCUGCCUGACGUAGGUGCUAGCCUCUAAGAUUUAGCCAUGCAUGCUCUGUGAACCGAAUGGGGAACGGCGGACGGCUCAGUAAUGUUGCGAUGAUCUGCUCUAGUUGUGUAAGAUAACCGCGGAAACCUGUGGCUAAGAGACUAGAAUGAGACGCAACCCUAUCAGUUUGUUGGUAGUGUAACGGACUACCAAGACUAUGACGGGUGACGGGAAAUCAGUGUUUGAUUCCGGAGAGGGAGCCUGAGAGAUGGCUCCCACGUCCAAGGAUGGCAGCAGGCGCGAAAAUUGUCCACUCUUUGUUGAGGAGACAGUUAUGAGGCGUGAUUGUAAGAGCGAAGAGUAAACAUCUUUGUGUAAUGCAACUAGAGGGCAAGUUUUGGUGCCAGCAGCCGCGGUAACUCCAACUCUAGAAGUGCCUAUUGUGGAUGCUGCAGUUAAAAAGUCCGUAGUCGUUGAUGCAAUUAAAAGGUGUAGAUCAAGUGCACCAAGUUUGUUAGUUGUGGCGGAGCGGACAGGGAGCAUGGUAUAGGUUGGCGAAGAAUGAAAUCUCAAGACCCAACCUGGACCAACUGAGGCGAAAGCGGUGCUCUUGUACGCGUCUGUGGAUCAAGGACGAAGGCUAGAGGAUCGAAAGUGAUUAGACACCGCUGUAGUUCUAGCAGUAAACUAUGCCGACAUUCUCUGUUGUUGAGACGGGGAGGGGAGAAAUCUUAGUUUUCGGGCUCUGGGGAUAGUACGCUUGCAAGAGUGAAACUUAAAGCGAAAUUGACGGAAGAUCACCACAAGGAGUGGAUUGUACUGCUUAAUUUGACUCAACACGGGAAAACUUACCAGGGCCAAGUCUCUCGUAGAUUGGCGACAUGAGAGGGGCAAGAGUGGUGCAUGGCCGUUGGAAAUUGAUGGGAUGACCUUUAGCUUAAGUGCUGUAACCAGUGAGAUCUUCUAGACAGGUGUCUUACUGACACAGGAAGGAGAAGGCUAUAACAGGUCCGUGAUGCCCUCAGAUGCCCUGGGCCGCAAGUGCAAUACAAUAUCCGUUUGAGCGACAUAAAUAUGCUUACGGAUGAGUAGGAUUAGCUCUUGUAAAUGAGCUAUGAAUGAGGAAUUCCUAGUAACUGUGUCUCAUCAAGGCACAGUGAAUGCGUCCCUGUUCUUUGUACACACCGCCCGUCACUAUUGCGGAUGGCAAUCAAGAUGAAGAGCCUAGGUUCUGAAUAUUGAUCGUUAGACAUAAUACAAGUCGUAACAAGGUAACGAUUGGAGAACCAGCCGUUGGAUCAUUC
rnacentral:rRNA from 16 species